rnacentral:rRNA from 1 species
UACGUUCCCGGACCUUGCACACACCGCCCGUCAAGCCAUGGAAGCUGGGUGUACCUAAAGUCGGUAACCGCAAGGAGCUGCCUAGGGUAAAACUAGUGACUGGGGCU